AACAAGGCUGGGAAUUCGUUUUUCUGCAUAUAGGGGAAAUGAUACUUCUACCCGGUAUGCUCACUGGCUCUUGUAGUGUUAUGGAGAUGUUGAGGUUUAUCCAUAAUUGUACAAGUAUUGGAAUAUUGUGUUUUGAAAUGAGAAUUAUUGAGAUAAAGAAGAUAGCAAGAAAUAUUCGUAUGGCAAUAGGUCAAAUAGAGAAGAUAAUGAGAUGCUUUUAUUCUUUAAUCACGAGGGGUUGACUUGUGUCUUCAGAUGGACACAAAGAUUAUAAUGAGUCUCUGUUAUGAAUCAAAAGAAGCUGGUUUUGCCACUCAUAUAUAUCAAGAGCCAAGAUAUCAAGGUCCCACUAAAUUCCCUUUUUCUAUUCUGUAACAAGAGUAUUUAUUUUUGCCUAUAAAUAGGCUGCUCUAAAUCACUCAAUUUGUCAAUCAAAACACAUUUAAUUAAAGAUUCUUCAGGGCCCUUAUUGCUGCCUCUCCCUCAAGGGCUUCUCUCCUGCAUGCUUAUAUGUUGGGAAAGAAGCUCUAGCAGGGAGAGCCAAUAACAAGUGUCUUGUUUAACAACUUAUGUUGCUCUUCACAGUUCACAGGACAGUCUUUUUUCACUCUCCCUCAAAGGCUUCUGGCUUAAAAUGCCUUUUGUGCUAAUGCUAGAGGUCUUUCGAGUGAGAGUGAAUAAAUUCUGCCAUGAUAUAUAUAAUUGCAGAAUUAUGACUCAACAAAGAAACUGUUCUUCUUCAGGGCUCACGUGAACCUAAUAGCCUUAUAUAUGUAUUAAGAAAUUUAUUAAAUAUCUAUUAGUUACAGUAAUAUUUGACUGUGAAAUUCACCUCUUUUCUUUUGCCUUCUGAUUCCUAUGCAGUUAAGGUGGAUCAACGCUGUACAAUUGGCGGAAAAGUGCUCUACGAUCACGAUCAAGAGAGAGAGGAAUGAGGAUCUAGUUUUAACCCUGAAUUUUUUUAUCUUAAGGCUUAACUGAGUAAAGCUGGAGCAGAUGUAAUUUUGUCUGCACUAACUGCCUUUGCAAGUGAUUCGCUGACUUUAAAUCCUGAAUCUGCCUUUAGAGUCGGAAGUGGCUGGUCGUAUUCCUUCUUCCUUGGUGUAUGUUGAUCUCUUCUCUCUGGUGGUAGCUAUUCAACAUCUCCACAGAAUUGUAAUGUGUUUCAUAAUGAGGAGGCAUUGCAUAAAGAUUUGGUUUUGGAAGACAAAUUGGCUCCAAUAGAAUCGAACACAUACAGAAAAUUCAAAUAAUUAAAUAACUAGAUUUGGAAUUGAGAUGUAGUUGGCUAAUGAUUUUCUAGAGGAAUAAAAAAAUA
rnacentral:lncRNA from 1 species